rnacentral:rRNA from 1 species
CCCUAUUAUUGAGGGAAAAAUAAUAGAAAAGAGAGUAAGCUUAAUGCUAAAAACAAUCUAGAGUGGCGGUUCUUUUUCCUAUCAGAGAAAUGUGUUUUUGAAACGAAGAUGCACGAAAAUCUUUCUCUCUUUUGAAAAUUCAUCCUGUACACCGCCGUCUGAAGGAGUAGUUUAAAAGACCAAUCCCACAUCUCUCUCAGAGAUAAGUCAGGUUAGGUGCAGACUAUGAGGGAGAAGAAAUGCAUUUCACUAAAACAAACGAAAGAGGAAUUGAAUAACUCUUCUUAAGAAGAAUUUGAUAGUAAGAUUUUUUUAUCAUAAAUAUCUGAAAUAGUACCAAAAGAAUGCACACAUCGCCCG